AUUGAACGCUGGCGGUAGGCCUAACACAUGCCAGUCGAACGGCAGCACAGUAAUAGCUUGCUCUUACGGUUGGCGAGUGGCGGACGGGUGAGGAAUACAUCGGAAUCUACUUUUUCGUGGGGGAUAACGUAGGGAAACUUACGCUAAUACCGCAUACGACCUACGGGUGAAAGCAGGGGAUCUUUGGACCUUGCGCGAUUGAAUGAGCCGAUGUCGGAUUAGCUAGUUGGCGGGGUAAAGGCCCACCAAGGCGACGAUCCGUAGCUGGUCUGAGAGGAUGAUCAGCCACACUGGAACUGAGACACGGUCCAGACUCCUACGGGAGGCAGCAGCGGGGAAUAUUGGACAAUGGGCGCAAGCCUGAUCCAGCCAUACCGCGUGGGUGAAGAAGGCCUUCGGGUUGUAAAGCCCUUUUGUUGGGAAAGAAAAGCAGCAGGUUAAUACCCCGCUGUUCUGACGGUACCCAAAGAAUAAGCACCGGCUAACUUCGUG
rnacentral:rRNA from 1 species